rnacentral:rRNA from 1 species
UGCAAGUCGAGCGCGCCUUUCGGGGUGAGCGGCGGACGGGUUAGUAACGCGUGGGAAUAUGCCCAAAGGUACGGAAUAGCCUCUGGAAACGGAGAGUAAUACCGUAUGUGCCCUUCGGGGGAAAGAUUUAUCGCCUUUGGAUUAGCCCGCGUUAGAUUAGGUAGUUGGUGGGGUAAUGGCCUACCAAGCCUACGAUCUAUAGCUGGUUUUAGAGGAUGAUCAGCAACACUGGGACUGAGACACGGCCCACACUCCUACGGGAGGCAGCAGUGGGGAAUCUUGGACAAUGGGGGCAACCCUGAUCCAGCCAUGCCGCGUGAGUGAUGAAGGCCUUAGGGUCGUAAAGCUCUUUCGCCUGUGAAGAUAAUGACGGUAGCAGGUAAAGAAACCCCGGCUAACUCCGUGCCAGCAGCCGCGGUAAUACGGAGGGGGUUAGCGUUGUUCGGAAUUACUGGGCGUAAAGCGCACGUAGGCGGAUCGGAAAGUUGGGGGUGAAAUCCCGGGGCUCAACCCCGGAACCGCCUCCAAAACUAUCGGUCUAGAGUUCGAGAGAGGUGAGUGGAAUUCCGAGUGUAGAGGUGAAAUUCGUAUAUAUUCGGAGGAACACCAGUGGCGAAGGCGGCUCACUGGCUCGAUACUGACGCUGAGGUGCGAAAGUGUGGGGAGCAAACAGGAUUAGAUACCCUGGUAGUCCACACCGUAAACGAUGAAUGCCAGUCGUCGGGUAGCAUGCUAUUCGGUGAC